GACGAACGCUGGCGGCGUGCUUAACACAUGCAAGUCGAACGGAAAGGCCCUGCUUUUGUGGGGUGCUCGAGUGGCGAACGGGUGAGUAACACGUGAGUAACCUGCCCUUGACUUUGGGAUAACUUCAGGAAACUGGGGCUAAUACCGGAUAGGAGCUCCUGCUGCAUGGUGGGGGUUGGAAAGUUUCGGCGGUUGGGGAUGGACUCGCGGCUUAUCAGCUUGUUGGUGGGGUAUUGGCUUACCAAGGCUUUGACGGGUAGCCGGCCUGGGAGGGUGACCGCCCACCUUGGGACUGAGAUACGGCCCAGACUCCUACGGGAGGCAGCAGUGGAGAAUAUUGCACAAUGGGCGGAAGCCUGAUGCAGAAACGCCGCGUGCGGGAUGACGGCCUUCGGGUUGUAAACCGCUUUCGCCUGUGACGAAGCGUGAGUGACGGUAAUGGGUAAAGAAGCACCGGCUAACUACGUG
rnacentral:rRNA from 1 species